CAUUACCGAGUUUACAACUCCCAAACCCCUGUGAACAUACCACUUGUUGCCUCGGCGGAUCAGCCCGCUCCCGGUAAAACGGGACGGCCCGCCAGAGGACCCCUAAACUCUGUUUCUAUAUGUAACUUCUGAGUAAAACCAUAAAUAAAUCAAAACUUUCAACAACGGAUCUCUUGGUUCUGGCAUCGAUGAAGAACGCAGCAAAAUGCGAUAAGUAAUGUGAAUUGCAGAAUUCAGUGAAUCAUCGAAUCUUUGAACGCACAUUGCGCCCGCCAGUAUUCUGGCGGGCAUGCCUGUUCGAGCGUCAUUUCAACCCUCAAGCACAGCUUGGUGUUGGGACUCGCGUUAAUUCGCGUUCCCCAAAUUGAUUGGCGGUCACGUCGAGCUUCCAUAGCGUAGUAGUAAAACCCUCGUUACUGGUAAUCGUCGCGGCCACGCCGUUAAACCCCAACUUCUGAAUGUUGACCUCGGAUCAGGUAGGAAUACCCGCUGAACUUAAGCAUAUCAAU
rnacentral:rRNA from 1 species